rnacentral:rRNA from 1 species
AACGGCGAGUGAAGCGGUAACAGCUCAAAUUUGAAAUCUGGCCUCACGGUCCGAGUUGUAAUUUGUAGAGGAUGCUUCGAGCAUGGUCUGGCCUAAGUUCCUUGGAACAGGACGUCAUAGAGGGUGAGAAUCCCGUAUGCGGCCAGGUGCCUACGCUCAUGUGAAGCUCCUUCGACGAGUCGAGUUGUUUGGGAAUGCAGCUCAAAAUGGGUGGUAAAUUUCAUCUAAAGCUAAAUAUUGGCCAGAGACCGAUAGCGCACAAGUAGAGUGAUCGAAAGAUGAAAAGCACUUUGGAAAGAGAGUUAAACAGUACGUGAAAUUGUUGAAAGGGAAGCGCUUGCAACCAGACUUGCGCGCGGCCGAUCAUCCGGUGUUCUCACCGGUGCACUCGGCCGUGCUCAGGCCAGCAUCGGUUUUGGCGGCUGGAUAAAGGCCCUAGGAAUGUAGCUCCUCUCGGGGAGUGUUAUAGCCUAGGGUGCAAUGCAGCCUGCUGGGACCGAGGACCGCGCUUCGGCUAGGAUGCUGGCGUAAUGGUUGUAAGCGGCCCGUCUUGAAACACGGACCAAGGAGUCUAACAUCUAUGCGAGUGUUUGGGUGUCAAACCCAUACGCGUAAUGAAAGUGAACGGAGGUGAGAACCCUUAAGGGUGCAUCAUCGACCGGUCCUGAAGUUUACG